ACUUUUGAUAAAGAUUAACAAAGUCUGAUCCAGCAAAGCAGAUAAGACUCCCUCUUUUCGGUUAAUCAAAGUCGCUUGGAAAUGAUUAUCAGACCACAGCCACAAAUACACUACAGAUGUUUUGAGGGUUACAUCUGUAUCCUCAGUAUUUCUGAAAGGCCAAGGGAAAUCCCGGGCGCACGAAAAUGGGGUAGGCUGCUGCUCACCCCUUGGCUGUCCCUAUGGACGCGUCCUCUUCUUCUCUCCAUUUUCUCUACUCUCUCGCUCUACGUUCAUCCGGGAAGCCCUUCCUCGCAGUGGAUACUUAUUAAUACACGAUAAUAGGAAUCCAAUGAAUUGCGAACGAUGAACUCUCCGUCUCCCUUUCUCUUAUGAACUGUGCAAGCUACGCUCGUUUCAUUUGCUAUCGACUGAGAUCCAUUCGAAGAUCCUUGAGUCCUGGCAAGCUCAAAUAUCCCAUGUAAACAAAAUACAGGAAAUACUGUACAACGACCAA